rnacentral:tRNA from 1 species
UCUCAUAGCUUAGUUGGUAAAGAAUCUGCCUGCAAUGCAGGAGACUCAGAUUCUAUUCCUGGGUUGGGAA